UACGUAGGGUGCAAGCGUUGUCCGGAAUUAUUGGGCGUAAAGAGCUCGUAGGCGGUUUGUCGCGUCUGCUGUGAAAACUCAGGGCUUAACCCUGAGCCUGCAGUGGGUACGGGCAGACUAGAGUGAUGUAGGGGAGACUGGAAUUCCUGGUGUAGCGGUGAAAUGCGCAGAUAUCAGGAGGAACACCAGUGGCGAAGGCGGCUUUCUGGACGAUUACUGACGCUGAGACGCGAAAGCGUGGGGAGCAAACAGG
rnacentral:rRNA from 1 species